rnacentral:lncRNA from 1 species
GCUAUGGCCGGCUCCACCUCAGCUGCUGGUUUAGGACUUCAGAUCGAGUUUUCCUGCAAGUUGAAUAGCGCCAAGGCCGCUACAGAAUUUCUCAGAGCACAGGAAGGUUUACUUAUCUCUUUUUCUUUGGAGAAGUUAGUUUUAACCAGUUAAUGGUGAUGUUCAAUUUAGUUUGAGACCAGAUCCCUAAAAAGAAGAGUGCUUUCAUUUGGCCUUAGAGAAAAAAUGAUUACUGAUGCACCCUUGGGUUUUAUUUUGUUUCUGUUUUAGAUCGCCUUGCCAAAACCGGGGAGAUUUGAAUUUAGGGUGGGGCAUGGCCGGGGUGCAGCAGUAACCCACCCCGCGAGCAUUGUUCAGACAUAACAAAGAAGGGGGAAGUUUCUUUCAGGUAAUGUGAGAAGUUUUCCAAGAAAUAUGGAACUGCUGGGUGGGUUGGAAGAAGAACCUCCCCGUCACUUGUCACCUUUAGCUGCCCCGAGCUUGACAUCACUUGACAGAUACUUCUAGUUUGUGUUUAGUUGGUACAAGACUAGCCAGCACGCCUUACUGCUUCUUCCUGCAUAUCAGAUUUUGGAAGCUCAGGCCCAGUAAAAGCAAAAGCCUUAAAGGGAAAUGCCCUGCAAGAGCCUUCUGCUUUCAGACCUGCCAUGCAUACUCGGAUAAGGAAGCACCAUCUCCUGCCAUAGAACCACGAAGGAGAAAAAUGCUAUGCAGAAAACAAGAUCUUUCUCAACAUUUUGUGAUAAUAAACAAUUAUGAUAAUAAAUCCCUGUGGAAUACUUCUGUCUUAGUUAGGGUUUUGUGAACAAAACUUGUCUGUGAACAGACACCAUGAGCAAGGCAACUCUUAUAAGGACAACAUUUAAUUAAGUCUGGCUUACAGGUUCAGAGGUUCAGUCCAUUAUCACCAAGUUGGGAGCAUGGCAGCAUCCAGGCAGGCAUGGUGCAGGAGGAGAUGAGAAUCCUACAUCUUCAUCUGAAGGCUGCUAGCAGCUAGCAUGAGGGUCCUAAAGCCCACACCCACAGUGCCAUCCCUACUCCAAAAGGCCACACCUACUAGAACAGGGCCAUACCUUCGAAUAGUGCCACUUCUUGGGCCGAGUAUAUAUAAACCAUUACAACUUUCAUGAAGAAAC